GACGAACGCUGGCGGCGUGCUUAACACAUGCAAGUCGUACGGAAAGGCCCUGCUUGCAGGGUACUCGAGUGGCGAACGGGUGAGUAACACGUGGGUGAUCUGCCCUGCACUUCGGGAUAAGCCUGGGAAACUGGGUCUAAUACCGGAUAGGAGCCAUUUUUAGUGUGAUGGUUGGAAAGUUUUUUCGGUGUAGGAUGAGCUCGCGGCCUAUCAGCUUGUUGGUGGGGUAAUGGCCUACCAAGGCGGCGACGGGUAGCCGGCCUGAGAGGGUGGACGGCCACAUUGGGACUGAGAUACGGCCCAGACUCCUACGGGAGGCAGCAGUGGGGAAUAUUGCACAAUGGGCGCAAGCCUGAUGCAGCGACGCCGCGUGGGGGAUGACGGCCUUCGGGUUGUAAACUCCUUUCGCUAGGGACGAAGCUUUUGUGACGGUACCUAGAUAAGAAGCACCGGCUAACUACGUG
rnacentral:rRNA from 1 species